GUGCGCUCGCACCUCACCCCUCACGCUCUUUGUCUCCGCGGCGCUCGCUGGUGCCGCAGGAAGCGCCGGGGUGGCAGUCCAGCGGAGAAACUGCCGCGGCCUGCAAGUGCAGCAGUGUCUCCGGCACAAAAGAAACCGGUUCUGGUUUUCUCGCCAUUUCGCACCGCUGUUCUUUGGCUGGGCCUCACGGUAGUCACAGAAUGACAGAAUUGAUUAGGGCUCCUGCAGCUGGGUCCCUGCUGGGCCAGAGGCCACCGAGACAUAUCUGCGUUCAUGGUACAGAUCAUUCCUCCCUGAGCUCUUCCUGCCUGGGGCUUCCCAGCCCUGUGCCUGGUCUGCUGCAAGAGAUAAGCAGGGCACCCUGCACUUCCUCCAGGGAUGGUGAAGGCUGGAACCAGCACCAAACCUCAACUCUGGAACAGCUUGCACCAGCAGCAAGUGGUUCCAUGUGUCACCUUUCAGAGGAGGAAGUGCACAUCACUGAAAGGAUCUGAGACAGGAGAUACCAAACUGUGCAAGUGCAGCCUUUCCUCAAGGACAGGCUGGAUCCAUGAGUAAGCAAGCACAACAGAGAGACCAGCCUGCGUGGCUCUCCAGCAGAAAACGUCUUGCUGUGUGUUUUUCCAAAGAGCCACAUUUCAGGUCGAUAAGUGUGAGGAAUAAAUGGAAUUUGGCUUUA